CACAGUUGAAGAGUACCUAUGAUAAAAAUGACAGACUUCUACAUGCUUUGUAAGUGGGAAAACCUGCGAAAUCGGCAGUGUAUGAAAUACUUGUUCUCCCCACUGUAUGUUUAAUCUCUAUUCUGAUGUAAAUACUCUAAGUAUGUGAGUGAGCUAUAUGAAUAGUUUUUUCUCAAUUCAGGUGCAGUGUUCAUUCCAUGUUAAAUGCAUACAUAAAGUCACACUAUACAAAAAUGUUUGUCUCACACAUCACACACACACGGUUCAACACUACCAUGUUCUGCACAUAGGCUUCUUUGCAGGGCUGGGGUCAAUACUAUUUAACAUGUUGUCACUUCAAAUAUUUAACCAAAUUCCUAUUAAAAAUGUUCCUCAUUGAAUUGAAGAAAAACUGUGAAAUGUUUGUGUUAAAAAAAACUGCAGCGUGAACCAACCCAUACGCUUCUGUGUUACCUUUUAAUGGAGUUUUGGAUUUGAUUUGAAUGACGGGUUCCAUGUGAUCCUAGCCAUAAUUUUCUAUUGGACGUCAAACCAACAAAUAUAUACAGUGGAAUCAUACAACAUUUGAACAAGAUCAUGCUUAGCAAGUGUGGGGUAUUGUUGGAAAAGUUAUAAUUAAAUACAAUGAUUAUUUAUUUGACCCAGAAAUGUGGCAUAAUUUCAUUGUUUAUACUUAUUUGUGUCUCAGUGUUUACACUGAUGUUCUUUUCAUUGGCCUUUUACUGUUGUUGUAGAAUAAGAUCCAUAAGAAUUAAAUUAGAUUAAUAUUAGCAGUGUUGUGACCAUUGCUUCAGGCAGAAUGGGUGGUUUUUAUUAAUUGGCCCCCAAUAUGCACUAGUAAUACUAAAUUUGUUCUGCAAAACACUAAGAAUGUUUAUUUUUUAUUUAUUUCUACUGUUUAUUUUUACCAAAUUUUAGAUGGAGUACCAUAAGUUCAGGCUAACUGCGAGUACUGUCCUUUCCACAACGCAAGAUGACCAGAUCAUAUAUAUGACUUUUGAUGGCUGUCACCCAGCUAUGUCAUAGCUCCUGAUUUUCCUUAUGAGCCAGCUGUAAAACAAGGUCAAAUCGCUUGGGUGUGGUCACUCUGUUUUGGUAUUUCAUUCUUUGCUUUUACACAAGGAGCUAUUCCAUAUUUGUGUGGGAAGAAAGAGAGGGAGGUAGGAACAUAAGGACAUGGUCACUUCAAAAUCUGGGCGGAAUCUUUAUGAUUUGUCCAACCUUAGCUUCUCUUAGUUGAUAUCAACGUGGGCCAAAAAGAGACGAGAUAUGUUGGCCAAAAAAAGAAAAGCCAUCGGAUUUUCAUUUGCCUGUAACAUUUCUUUAUGCAAAACUUUCUGCUUGGGAGAAAUACGCAGUACUGUGCAAAAGUCAGGCAUCUGAAAGUCCUACUAAAGUCAUUCAUUUGGAUAGUGUUUGUACAUCCUUUUUAAUGCAAGAAUAUUUUCUAUGUGACCUUUUCUACUGAAAUAAAGUCCUUUCCAUUAAACUGGUUUUCAUCCAC
ensembl:lncRNA